CAGCGCCUCAAGUGGCAGCCGCGUUUAUUGGGCCUAAAGCGUCCGUAGCAGGUUUUGUAAAUCUCUUGUGAAAUUGUCAAGCUCAACUUGGCAACGUGCAAGAGACACUGCAAGACUUGGGACCGGGAGGAGUCAGAGGUAUUCCAUGGGGAGCGGUAAAAUGCUAUAAUCCAUGGAGGACCACCUAUGGCGAAGGCAUCUGACCAGAACGGAUCCGACUGUGAGGGACGAAAGCCAGGGGAGCGAUCCGGAUUAGAUACCCGAGUAGUCC
rnacentral:rRNA from 1 species